rnacentral:rRNA from 1 species
GAAGGGUGCAAGCGUUACUCGGAAUUACUGGGCGUAAAGCGUGCGUAGGUGGUUUGUUAAGUCUGAUGUGAAAGCCCUGGGCUCAACCUGGGAACUGCAUUGGAAACUGGCUGACUAGAGUGCGGUAGAGGGGUGUGGAAUUCCCGGUGUAGCAGUGAAAUGCGUAGAUAUCGGGAGGAACAUCUGUGGCGAAGGCGACACCCUGGACCAGCACUGACACUGAGGCACGAAAGCGUGGGGAGCAAACAGGAUUAGAUACCCUGGUAGUCCACGCCCUAAACGAUGCGAACUGGAUGUUGGGGGCAACUUGGCCCUCAGUAUCGAAGCUAACGCGUUAAGUUCGCCGCCUGGGAAGUACGGUCGCAAGACUG